GAUGAACGCUGACAGAAUGCUUAACACAUGCAAGUCUUUGGCGAAUCUGUGCUUGCACAGGCUAGCCAAGGCGGACGGGUGAGUAACGCGUAAAGAACUUGCCCUGCAGACAGGGAUAACAGACGGAAACGACUGAUAACACCUGAUACAGUUGCCGGCACGCAUGUGCCUGGCAAUGAAAAGAGAUGCUGCAGGAGAGCUUUGCGUCCUAUUAGCUUGUUGGUGAGGUGACGGCUCACCAAGGCGAUGAUAGGUAGCCGGCCCGAGAGGGUGAACGGCCACAAGGGGACUGAGAUACGGCCCUUACUCCUACGGGAGGCAGCAGUGGGGAAUAUUGGACAAUGGGGGCAACCCUGAUCCAGCAAUUCUGUGUGCACGAAGAAGGUUUUCGGAUUGUAAAGUGCUUUCAGCAGGGAAGAAGAAAGUGACGGUACCUGCAGAAGAAGCGACGGCUAAAUACGUG
rnacentral:rRNA from 1 species